rnacentral:rRNA from 1 species
UACGGGGGGGGCAAGCGUUGUUCGGAAUUACUGGGCGUAAAGGGCUCGUAGGCGGCCAACUAAGUCAUACGUGAAAUCCCUCGGCUUAACCGGGGAACUGCGUCUGAUACUGGAUGGCUUGAGUUCGGGAGAGGGAUGCGGAAUUCCAGGUGUAGCGGUGAAAUGCGUAGAUAUCGGAAGGAACAUCAGUGGCGAAAGCGGCUUCCUGGACCAGUACCGACGUUCAGGCACGAAAGCGUGGGGAGCAAACAGG